CUGGAAGCCCCCAGAAGCCUUCAGUGGUCCCACUGCCCUGUGAGACUCAGCUGUCACUGCAGUGAAGCAAAGGGCCUGAAACACACAGAGGUAAGAAACCCUGUGGGGAGCAGAGAUCUGCAUCCGUUUUCAUGCUGUGUUGUGGGUGUGGUGGGUGUGGUGUGGUGGGGUGGGGAGUGCACUAUCAUCAUCAUCAUCAUCAUCAUUAUUGUUAUUAUUAUCAUUGUCUUCAGUCACAUGCUACUUUAUUAGUGAAUGGCUGAAGGCAAGUGGAACAAGAAAAUUUUAUUCUAAAUUGAUGAUAUUGUAAAACAAAGUCUCUCAUACACACGCAAAUUCACUUAAGAAAAAUCUACAGGGGUCCAUUUUUUCUGGCUGAAGAAUUUAGCACGUCCAAAUGCAAUCAAUGGAAUAAAAUGUCAUCCCAUCCAUAGAAUUUCUAUUAAUGAAGUUUGAACAACAUCUGAGCCUUUUUUGGAGUAAAUCCUUAAUCUAUUCAUUUUCUUCUCAGGUUGUUUAAGGUGGGUCAUACAAUGACUUUCCCAUUGUGGGUUUUUGUUUUGAGAGAGAGAGAGAGAGAGAGAGAGAGAGAGAGAGAGAGAGAGAAUAUUGAUACUAGGGAUGAAACCUAGGACCUGGUGCAGGCUGGGCCUGUGCUCCCCGCCCCCAGCCAUACCCCUAGCCCUCCCAUGGUGGUUAAGGAACUGAUGGCAAGGGAUGCAAAGCGUAUUUCUCCAUGUUAUUCCCUGUUUUCCUUAGUUGGUCUAGUUGAUCCAUCCUUUCUUCCUUCCCCUCUCCCUCCCUUUCCCCUCCUUCCCUCCCUCCAUCCCUCCAUCCCUCCCUCCCUUCCUUUGGAUUUAGACUGACUUAGGGAACCAAAGAAGGGAUGUCAACUCAGCCUCUCCAUUUCAGAGUUAAAAUUGCACGUUUUUUUCUCUCUCUCUGUAAGUUCCUUGAAUCCAUCUCUGAACUAUUUUUGUCCUUUUCUUUCUUUCUUUAUUAAACUUUUC
rnacentral:lncRNA from 1 species